rnacentral:rRNA from 1 species
UCGCGUAGGGAUUUGUCGUUGGGUGGGGGAUAACCGCGGGAAACUGCGGCUAAUACCGCAUGACGCCUGUGGGCCAAAGGUGCGUGAGCACUGCCUGACGAGGAGCCUGCGUCCGAUUAGCUAGUUGGUUGGGUAAUGGCUGACCAAGGCUGUGAUCGGUAGCUGGUCUGAGAGGAUGAUCAGCCACACUGGGACUGAGACACGGCCCAG